AGGUCAGAGGGCAGCUCCCACCCCAGCCGUCUCCCUCGUGUCCAGCAGGCCGGGCCCAGGAGUGGCUUCCACCUGCCCGUCAGUGCAGGCCGGGCCUCAUGGAGCUGAGGGACAGAGGCUGGAGCUGUGGACACGCCAAGUGGGACUGGAAGCGGUUUCAAGUGAGUCUGAAGUAAUUAGGAGCUCCUGCUGAUGGAUCGCACUGGAGGGACGUGGGGAUUAUUUAUUACCGAGUCACUUGCCGGAAA
rnacentral:lncRNA from 1 species